AUGGGGUGACUGCGUACCUUUUGUAUAAUGGGUCAGCGACUUAUAUUCUGUAGCGAGGUUAACCGUAUAGGGGAGCCGUAGGGAAACCGAGUCUUAACUGGGCGAAUGAGUUGCAGGGUAUAGACCCGAAACCCGGUGAUCUAUCCAUGGGCAGGUUGAAGGUUGGGUAACACUAACUGGAGGACCGAACCGACUAAUGUUGAAAAAUUAGCGGAUGACUUGUGGAUGGGGGUGAAAGGCCAAUCAAACCGGGAGAUAGCUGGUUCUCCCCGAAAGCUAUUUAGGUAGCGCCUCGUGAACUCAUCUUCGGGGGUAGAGCACUGUUUCGACUAGGGGGUCAUCCCGACUUACCAACUCGAUGCAAACUGCGAAUACCGAAGAAUGUUAUCACGGGAGACACACGGCGGGUGCUAACGUCCGUCGUGAAGAGGGAAACAACCCAGACCGCCAGCUAAGGUCCCAAAGUCAUGGUUAAGUGGGAAACGAAGUGGGAAGGCUCAGACAGCCAGGAUGUUGGCUUAGAAGCAGCCAUCAUUUAAAGAAAGCGUAAUAGCUCACUGGUCGAGUCGGCCCGCGCGGAAGAUGUAACGGGGCUAAACCAUGCACCGAAGCUGCGGCAGCGACACA
rnacentral:rRNA from 1 species